rnacentral:rRNA from 1 species
CUACGUGCCAGCAGCCGCGGUAAUACGUAGGGUGCGAGCGUUAAUCGGAAUUACUGGGCGUAAAGCGAGCGCAGACGGUUACUUAAGCAGGAUGUGAAAUCCCCGGGCUCAACCUGGGAACUGCGUUCUGAACUGGGUGACUAGAGUGUGUCAGAGGGAGGUAGAAUUCCACGUGUAGCAGUGAAAUGCGUAGAGAUGUGGAGGAAUACCGAUGGCGAAGGCAGCCUCCUGGGAUAAUACUGACGUUCAUGCUCGAAAGCGUGGGUAGCAAACAGGAUUAGAUACCCUGGUAGUCCACGCCCUAAACGAUGUCGAUUAGCUGUUGGGCAGCUUGACUGCUUAGUAGCGUAGCUAACGCGUGAAAUCGACCGCCUGGGGAGUACGGUCGCAAGAUUAAAACUCAAAGGAAUUGACGGGGACCCGCACAAGCGGUGGAUGAUGUGGAUUAAUUCGAUGCAACGCGAAGAACCUUACC